ACGCUCGACACCUACGGGAGGCAGCAGUGGGGAAUAUUGCACAAUGGGGGAAACCCUGAUGCAGCGACGCCGCGUGGAGGAAGAAGGUCUUCGGAUUGUAAACUCCUGUUGUUGGGAAAAAGAGGAUGGUACCCAACAAGGAAGUGACGGCUAACUACGUGCCAGCAGUGCGGUAAUCUGAGGCGGGCGUGGCAAGGC
rnacentral:rRNA from 1 species